GGAGAACAAAAUAAUCUAUUUAUUUGAAAAGAAAUUUUAAGCCCCAAUGUUGGUUACACUUGGAAUAGUGGAAUUGUUUGCAUAUAACGGAAAUGCAUGACAGAUUGUAAUGUGUUCUUGGAUUGAACAAAGCAUAGUUGGCUAUGCAACUUUUUGAAGCAAAUGAGCUGAGUGAAACUAGGUAAAGAGUUGGGACAUCUCUCUCUCUCUCUCUC
rnacentral:misc_RNA from 1 species